UCAAACUUGGUCAUUUAGAGGAAGUAAAAGUCGUAACAAGGUUUCCGUAGGUGAACCUGCGGAAGGAUCAUUACACGAUUUCGGUUAACACCGUUUUCACCCUUUGUUUAUACGUACCACAUGUUUCCUCGGGGGGCUUGCCCCCCGUUAGGACACCCCAUAAACCUUUUUGUAAUAGCAGUUAGCGUCUGAAAACUAAGUUAAUUAUUAAAACUUUCAACAAUGGAUCUCUUGGUUCUGGCAUCGAUGAAGAACGCAGC
rnacentral:misc_RNA from 1 species